rnacentral:lncRNA from 1 species
GUUAAACUGAAGAAAAUGAAGUACUCUUUUCAGUUGUGGAUCGCAAUGAUGUCCCUCUAACACGGCCUUUCAACUUUGCUUACACAGGUGUCUUCAGUGCCCUGGGUUUGCCUGUGACCCAAUGCCCACUGGGACUGAAUGCCAAAGGACUCCCUUUAGGCAUCCAGGUUGUGGCUGGACCCUUUAAUGAUCAUCUGACCCUGGCUGUGGCCCAGUACUUGGAGAAAACUUUUGGGGGCUGGGUCUGUCCAGGAAAGUUUUAGGAGGACCUUCUGCAAGGUUAAUGUGUGUGUGUGUUUGUGUUCGUGUGGUGGUGUUUCUAUUAAUUGGGUGAAAUCAAGCACCAGCAGACAAGCAGAGAAACAACUGGGGAAUUUAUUGACUCAUUUAGUUAUUCUUUCUACUUUUAUUUCCUUCUCUAACUGUUGGUCUUACUAAAAUGGUAAUAUUUGCUUCUUGCUUUUAUGUUACUGGAAAAUUAGGACAUGUAAAUGGAUAAGUGCAAUAAAGUUUCCUAAAUGCUG